rnacentral:rRNA from 1 species
UACGGAGGGGGCUAGCGUUGUUCGGAAUGACUGGGCGUAAAGCGCGCGUAGGCGGGCUGGAAAGUCAGGGGUGAAAUCCCGGGGCUCAACCCUGGAAUUGCCUUUGAGACUCCCAGCCUUGAGUUCGAGAGAGGUGAGUGGAAUUCCGAGUGUAGAGGUGAAAUGUGUAGAUAUUCGGAAGAACACCAGUGGCGAAGGCAGCAGAUUGGGUCGGUACUGACGCUCAGGCACGAAAGCAUGGGGAUCAAACAGG